CUGAUACAUAGAAACUGUCAUAGCUUGUGACUUCCUUUCAGUUAUGUUUUGCAAGUAGUUCUGAAAUACUGACAGAUUAAUUGUUUAACCCCUUAAGGACCAAAUUUCUGGAAUAAAAGGGAAUCAAGACAUGUCAUGUGUCCUUAAGGGGUCAAUAUUCCUUCAUUUCCCCCUCUUUGAGCAAUAUCUUGCUCAUACCCUAUUUAAGGAGUCCUGGUCAGACAACCAGCCAUCUGCCAUGGUAUAUUCAGGAUUGCUAGCCAAUCCUGCAGGUCUUUCAUUAUGUCUUCGGCCACUAUUCCCAUAGCAUAGGACUAGGCAUCUGACCAGUACCACAAACUUCAUAGCAAGCUGGGGAUUUUACAGGAACAGUGUUGCGUGUAUGUUUGUAAAUGCAGAAUACAAUAAUCUUGAAAAUAGCAUAAACAAGUAGAGCAAGGAUCAGAACCAUAACAAUAAUUAUUGCAAUAUUCUUUAGCCAGUCUAGGAUACUGUCAAACUUAAACAUAUCUGCCCAUGGGUGAUCAAUACCUGAAUUCCUCUUCAUUUCUAUGGACAGGUCUUCUAAUUUCUUUAUAUCUAGGGUUACUUUACCAUUAGGGCCAGUGUUCUCUGGAAUAUAGGUACAACAAACACCGGAGUCAAGUAAUUUACAGACUCCUCCCUUUUCUGCUAAAAUCAUAUCAAGGGCCAUUCUAUUCUGGAAAGUCAUUUGUGAGGUAGCCUGUAAUUGUUCAGCAAGACCUUGUAAUGCAUCUCGUGUAUAAUUUACAAAUCUUUGCUGAUUAUAAUAUAUAUAAUUAAUCCAGUUAACAUUCUCGUUAGCUGUUAUAAUGGGAAAUAUUGAUUCAAAUCCUGCUGCCACCUUGUCUCUAGCUUUAAAUUCAUUAGGAACCCCUCUUGGAAUACCAAUGGCAUCUAGAUAGAUAUGUGGGUCGAAACUACCUUGUGGGGAUUCCCUUUUCCUUCUUGUGGAAUCAGUUACAACCUUAAUUUCAGGGAGAGAGUCGCCAAAUAUAUGGAGGGGCAUGAUUAUUUUGGCUGGGGCACAUUCUCCUCUCCAGGGGGUGGGGAGUCUAGAACGUAUUUUCAUAUCUCCACAUAUUCAAUAAACAUCUCCCACAGAUUGUGUUUGAUUCACUAAGGUACAGAAUCCUGAAGAGAAGUUAUCAAAUUGUGUACCCACCUUACCAUUAUUAUUUCCCUGAAAACAAGUAUAAUUACCAGGAUAUACUGGGACAACAUCAUUUAAAUUAAACUUGGGUUCACCAAUAGGGUGACCCUUUUUCCAUUCUUCACAUUCUGUAGUAUUAACAGUGAUACCUGAAAACAAACUUAGGAAACAUUCCCAGUACUCAUCAGGGACAUGUAAAGGUACAGUUCCUAGAUGAGGUCUGGCACUACCACAUACAUAACAGUUUGACCUAUUGUUGGAAUGGGCAUUAUAUCUCAUCCAUUCCAGCCAUAGGUUUGUAUCUGCAUACCCUGUUUCUAACGCUAUGGUAUCUCCAAACGUGGGAUCUGCUAUGGCCAUCAUAUUACCAAGGGUCUGAAUGUGGGGCUUUAGAGGAUUAACAAGAGUUUGUCUAGAGGUGAGGCUUUCCCAUUUUGAGGAGUUCCAUAUAUCUUUUAACUGGAUUUUUCCUCGAUUACCUCCAAUACCUCCUCUUAAAAAGGUACUGAGAAUAUAAAUACCUUGAUCUCCAGGACUGGGGUUUUCAAUAUUUAAGGUAAAUUUCAUGGAGUGCCCAGUUUGCCCUAUAGAGGUACAUGUACCUGGCUUUGUUAGGGUCAUUCUAGUCAAGAGGGACUUCCCAUUCGUAUCCUUUUUAUCUAAUGCAUUCUGUGGCUUAUAACCCCAAUCUGUCCCGGUGUUCCAUCCAACUGAGCCCCAAUAAUCACAAUUGUUACCCCUCUUUGAGCAAUAUAUAUUGCUCAUAUCAUCGGAUAACAUUCUCCCAAGACAGAGAAAUUUCCACAUUAUGGCAUUCCCAAGCAAUCAUGUGGUCUACAAGAAACAGAAACUCAGCAGAAAAAAAACAAAACAAAAACCACUUAAUACUUUUGCAGACAGAUAUAUAGAAAAUGGAUGUUUAAGACAGAAUGGAACUUGGGCUUAUAGCAACUAUAUUUUUGCACAACCAGGACCUUGCGUCCUAUAUUUUUUAACCAUUUCCCUAUUCCAAAAGUCCAGUCAAAACCAGUCAUAUCCUCACGCAGUUCCUCAAAACAUGGGAAUCCAUCCCUGGCACACUCAACAUAUAUCAAAAACACACAUAGUACAUCCAUCCCUGGGUCAGCUAACACUUCCUCUCUCUCUGGCUAACUCUACAAAAAUAAAAAUAAAAAUAAUUCAAUAGUUCAGCAUAGUUCAGAAAAAUAGAAUAAGUCUUUCACAGAGUAUAAAGAAAUCAGUUUAGACACCAGACAUUUUGUUCCAUAAAAAUGGCUAAGGGUAGCAAUAUGGCUGACAACAAGACAAUGUCAGCUUCCAUAUAGUUCUUCUUUUGUUUGCUGGAUUUUCACCACAAAGCUCUGUGCAACACCCCAAUGGUUGAAAGGGUUAUUACAGAACCAGCGGUAUUAGACAGCACUGCACCUUCAGGACUUUCCAGGUUCUUGCGUGCAAAGUUAUGUCCUCAUAAAUAAGUAUCUCAGUUUCUUCGGCCUGCAUGGAUAAUGACCAAACAGACGUAAUUGCAAAAUACUUAUUGCAUGGUCAGCCAGAGAGAUUGGUGUGUAGUCCCAGAAAUCAGGCUGCACAAACACUCCAGGACGGUCUCUACAAACAUACAAACACAAGGAUCAAUACAACAUUAAUUAAUUAAUUAGGCUAAAACUUAAAUUAGAGAUUAAGGUUAAACCCUUAAUUUGUGUAACAUGUACUUCUCUUAUAUUUUAUGCAAUCUGUCUUCUAUAAAGUUUUACAUAAUACCCCUUUGGAAUGCCUUUGCACGGAUGAGAGUAGCACUCACUCUAUAGAAAUCCUUGUUAGGAUGAAUAUUAAAACACUAACAUAUACAUAUGGGGAUAAUUCCCAAUAACACUCUGUUCCUAAACUGGAACCUUGAUUUGAUAUUCAAAAUUAAUUACUUUAAUAAUCCCGAAUAAUUCAAUACUCUUGGAUUAACACCUAAAACUAUAUAAAAUAUUACAAACAUGAACCAUCUGUGUAUUAGGCUGGGGUUGUUGGGUGUGGGUAUAGGUUGGAAGCUAUGGUUGGUAUUGAGGAAUCUGUGGGGGUGGGUUUGGGCACUCAUUUUUCCAGUGACCCUGCUAUCCACAAUUAGAACAGUGUGUUCCACCAAUGCUGAAGUUGUUACCUCUACAAAAGUUAGACCCUUUGACCAAAUCCUCUACCUCUGCCUUUAUUCCAUAUGCAGGAUGGGAUUACCUAACUCACA